AAGUCACGCUUAGCUUCUGCAAGUAUUUGUUUUGCAGUAUUGAAAAACUCCUCCAUGAGGAGGGCACAGCGUUCUGCCUGGAGUGUGAGGCCGGUGUUGCUUGGCUGCAGCUGCCAUUUGCCACUGAUGAUCAUUCUUCUCUUCCCCUGUGAGAGUAAGGAGAGGAUGCAGUCUGAGUGGU
rnacentral:snoRNA from 2 species